AGAGUUUGAUCCUGGCUCACGAUGAACGCUAGCUACAGGCUUAACACAUGCAAGUCGAGGGGCAGCAUGAACUUAGCUUGCUAAGUUUGAUGGCGACCGGCGCACGGGUGAGUAACACGUAUCCAACCUGCCGAUGACUCGGGGAUAGCCUUUCGAAAGAAAGAUUAAUACCCGAUGGCAUAGUUCUUCCGCAUGGUGGAACUAUUAAAGAAUUUCGGUCAUCGAUGGGGAUGCGUUCCAUUAGGUUGUUGGCGGGGUAACGGCCCACCAAGCCUUCGAUGGAUAGGGGUUCUGAGAGGAAGGUCCCCCACAUUGGAACUGAGACACGGUCCAAACUCCUACGGGAGGCAGCAGUGAGGAAUAUUGGUCAAUGGACGAGAGUCUGAACCAGCCAAGUAGCGUGAAGGAUGACUGCCCUAUGGGUUGUAAACUUCUUUUAUACGGGAAUAAAGUGAGGCACGUGUGCCUUUUUGUAUGUACCGUAUGAAUAAGGAUCGGCUAACUCCGUGCCAGCAGCCGCGGUAAUACGGAGGAUCCGAGCGUUAUCCGGAUUUAUUGGGUUUAAAGGGAGCGUAGGCGGACGCUUAAGUCAGUUGUGAAAGUUUGCGGCUCAACCGUAAAAUUGCAGUUGAUACUGGA
rnacentral:rRNA from 1 species